CUUAACUGGGUGCCCCUGACUCAGGGUCUCUCAGAAGGCUGCAAUCAAGGUAUUGACCAGGUAGGCAGUCAUCUCAAGACUCAACUGGAGAGGACCUGCUUCCUCUCACUAGCAAGCUCACUAGCAUAGCUGGUGGCAGGCCUCAAGUUAUUUCUGGCUAUUGGCCUGAAACCUGAGUUCCUUGCCAUAUAAGCCUCUUCGUAAGGCUUCCUACACAACAUGUCAGCUUGCUUCUCCCAGAGCAAAGACCUUUGAGAAAGACAGAAGGAGACAGCUCUAAGAGAGGGCCAUAAAUGCAAACAAAUAAAUUCCUAUUACUAUAAAAGUGUGGGCCAACCCUUAAUCAGUGACAUUACUAAGAACUGUGAAAUGUUUACACAUUUGACCCUUCAACAGCAUGGGUUUGAACUUUGUGGAUCCACUUAAUUUUGGAUUUUCUUCUGCCUCUGCUACCCCGAGACAGCAAGACCAACUCCUCUUCUUCCUCCUCCUCCUCUACCUAUCCAACAUGACGAUGAUGAGGAUGAAGAACUUUAUGACAAUCUACUUGCACUUAAUAAAUAGUAAAUAUAUUUUCUCUUCUUUACAAUUUUCUUAAUAACAUUUUCUUUUCUCUAGCUUACUUGAUUGUAAGAAUACAAUAUAUAAUACAUAUACAAAAUGUGUGUUAAUCACCUGUUACGUUAUUGAUAAGGCUUCUGGUCAGCAGGAGGCAAUUCGUAGUUAAGUUUUUGGGGAGUCACAACUUAUAUGCUAAUUUUGUAUUGUGGGGGAGGGAGGUCAGGGCUCCUAAUCCCUGCACUGUCCAAGUAUCCAUUGUAUAGCGCAACUCCUAUGUCUCAGUGCCUGAAUGGCAGUGGAGUGCUUCAGACUAAUGCAUCCUUUGAUAAUAACUGUUUCUUCUUCUUCUUCUUCUUCUUCUUUUUCUUCUUCUUCUUCUUCUUCUUCUUCUUCUUCUUC
rnacentral:lncRNA from 1 species